AAAACCACCCCGUUUCAGCCCUCAGCCUCAGGGCUGAGAUUCAGGCUCAGGUCUAGGGGUUGGGGAAUAUUAAAGUUUACAAGUACAAUCUUACUCCAUCCAUACACACACAUGGAGAAGCCAGGAGAGGACGCGGCCAGAGAUGGGCUCCUGCCCUUGAACCCCUGCUGGGGUGGAAGCAGGUGCACAAUGCUUCUUUGAGUAUCUCCGUGUCUGUGGCUGAUAUCCAGAUGCAAGGCUUCUUCCGGGCAUCCCUGGGAAUGGGAGUGCAUAGACAUACUGGUCAAAUUACAGCACAGCCUCUACACCUUUACUGAAGAUGGAAAACUGUUUUCCAAAGUUGACUUGCCUAACAUGAUGUAACUAUCAUGCAAAAAUAAAAAUAAAAUUAAGAAUAAAAAUUUAAAAAUGAA
rnacentral:lncRNA from 1 species